CAUGCUCAUGAGCUGUGUUCCCUCCUUGGGGAGCCAUCACCACAGCUUGUCUCUGUGACCCUUUCUCCCCUCACUGCACUCAUGCUGAGUUUCUCCAAUCUUGUGAGAAGUGAAGCAACUGGCUGAUCACACACUCUCAUCUCCCCACAUUGCUGGUGCUGAGUUGGGCAUGCAACUUGCUAAAGCAUCUUCAAACAGUCAAGAAAGAAACUGCAGACACUUAUCAAGCUGCAGUGACAGAAAAUGAAAGUGAAGAGCUGUGAAGAGAUCUUUUAUAGACAAUAAGAGACAACAUAAAGCUGCUUUGUAAUCAGUUCUUCUAGCUGUUGUGACUCUCACUUGCAUCUUCUGAACUGUGUGUUGCUGAGAAAGUUAUCACUUAUGCUGUG
rnacentral:sRNA from 1 species